GACCUUACCAUCUAUGCUCCUCAUGCUCUUGAGAGUGUCAUAAGGCAGUCACCUGAUCGCUGGCUCAUGAAUGCCCGAAUGACGCAUUACCAGGCUUUGCUCUUGAAUAACGAUAGAGUCACCUUUGCCCCGGUGACGGGGCUAAACCCUGCCACCUUAUUGCCGGAUCCAGAAAUCCAGCCCCCAGAUUGUUUGCAGGUUCUAGCAGAGGAACAGGGAUGGUGAAAGGACUUGAUAUUCUGGCUUUGCUCAAUGCCUUGUUGUUGCCCACCAAGGCUGAAAGGACUGCAGCUUAUUCAGAAGGAAAUUUGGAGCAAGGUUGGCAGUGCAUAUGCACCUGGAUCCUUGGAGGUGCCCCAUCAGUUCCAGGUUGGAGAUCUGGUAUGUGAGACGACACUGCAGCCAGAAUCUGGAACCUCGGUGGAAGGGUCCUUAUUAUGUCCUGCUCACCAGUAUACCAACUGCCGUCAAAGUAGAGGGCAUCGCAUCUUGGAUCCAUGGGUCACACAUCAAGCCAGCUCUUCAUCAACCUGCAGACACCUGGAAAGUCCAAGCCUCCAGCAACCCACUAAAACUGAAACUCAUCAGGGACAAUAAACUCUCCGACCAGUACUCACCUUCAUCAGGGAAGUGUAAAUGCAAUUUAGGUCCUGAUGCUCCAGAGACAGUAUCAACCUCUCCCUGAGAUUGAUCCACAAUUUUAGGGUUAAAAUUGAGGCAAAAAGAAAAGGGGGGAAUGAGGGACCACCUGGGAAUGAGAAAAAAACUGUAAUUCUUUGAAUUGAAGCCAGGUGCAGAGAGCUCUUGAAGGGUGGGGUGAACUGUUCUGAUAAACAACCAGCUGUAAACUAUCUACAACCAAAGUGAUCUGAUUUUCAGGUAUAAAAACCCUGUGCUUUGCAUGUUCAGGGUUGUCUCCCACUUUUGGAGGGGUGACCCUAUCGUGAUAGCAAUAAAACCUCUUGCUUUUGCAUCGA